rnacentral:tRNA from 1 species
GGCCAUAUAGUCAAAAUAAUGACGUUAGACUGCAAUUCUAAAAGUGUGGAGUAUAUCCUACUAAGGCUU